AAAAAAAAAAGGAAAAAAACAUAUUUUCUCUUUCCCUUUCAUCUUUUCCUCUCCUCCGUAGCAGCAAGCAUCAUCUCAGCAGCUUUCUCUUUCUUCUAAAACCCUAUUUCACUUACGUUCCCUCCCAUUACCGGCCACUGCACCCCGUCCCGCCGGUUGCCGCAUUCCCAUCAUCCCCGUUGCAGUCCGAGCGGCUGCCGCAGCCUCAACCUUACGACGAGCUCGCCGCCGCUCCCUCUCACACUCUCUCGCCUAUCCGAGCAAGCAGAGUUACUUAUCUCUGUUUUUUCUUUCUUCUUCUCAGAAACAGAAACCGUGGUUCAUCCCCUUACCCACGCCAUUGGCACGUUAGAUUUUGAGCAUCAGAGAUUCCACCCAGAUGGACAAGGUGAAGAUAGAAGAGGUGCAAUCAACCUCUAAGAAGCAACGGGUAGCCACUCACACUCACAUUAAAGGCCUUGGUCUUGAGGCCUCAGGAAAGGCAAUGCCACUAGCUUCAGGUUUUGUGGGUCAAUCAGAAGCCAGAGAAGCAGCAGGGCUAGUUGUUGAUAUGAUACGUCAGAAGAAAAUGGCUGGCCGAGCACUUCUUCUAGCUGGACCUCCUGGUACUGGAAAGACUGCGCUUGCACUUGGAAUUUCACAGGAGCUAGGAAGCAAGGUGCCCUUUUGUCCAAUGGUUGGGUCUGAAGUAUACUCAUCCGAAGUGAAGAAAACUGAGGUUUUGAUGGAAAAUUUCCGACGAUCUAUUGGUCUACGUAUCAAGGAAAAUAAAGAGGUCUAUGAGGGAGAGGUGACUGAACUUUCACCAGAAGAAACAGAGAGCGUGACUGGUGGCUAUGGCAAAAGCAUAAGCCAUGUUAUUAUUGGUUUGAAAACUAUUAAAGGAACAAAGCAACUAAAAUUGGACCCGACCAUCUAUGAUGCCUUAAUUAAAGAGAAGGUAGCUGUUGGUGAUGUUAUAUAUAUAGAAGCAAAUAGUGGAGCUGUAAAAAGGGUGGGUAGAAGUGAUGCUUUUGCUACGGAGUUUGAUCUUGAAGCUGAAGAAUAUGUUCCACUUCCUAAAGGGGAGGUCCACAAAAGGAAAGAAAUAGUCCAGGAUGUGACUCUACAUGAUCUAGAUGCUGCCAAUGCACGGCCUCAAGGUGGACAGGAUAUACUAUCUCUAAUGGGUCAGAUGAUGAAGCCAAGGAAAACGGAAAUCACAGACAAGUUGCGGCAAGAAAUAAAUAAGGUGGUUAACCGAUAUAUCGAUGAAGGUAUAGCAGAGCUAGUCCCUGGAGUUCUAUUCAUUGAUGAGGUGCAUAUGCUGGAUAUGGAGUGCUUUUCGUAUUUGAAUCGAGCUUUAGAGAGCUCACUGUCCCCAAUAGUGAUCUUUGCAACAAAUAGAGGAAUCUGCAAUGUGCGAGGGACGGAUAUGAAUAGUCCUCAUGGAAUACCUGUUGAUUUGUUGGACCGACUGGUGAUCAUCCGAACUCAAACUUAUGGCCCUGCCGAGAUGAUUCAGAUAUUAGCCAUUCGGGCACAGGUCGAAGAGUUGGUUGUAGAUGAAGAAAGUUUAGCUUUCCUUGGGGAGAUGGGCCAGAGAACAUCGUUAAGACAUGCGGUUCAAUUGCUGUCGCCUGCUAGUGUUGUGGCGAAAAUGAAUGGUCGAGACAGCAUAUGCAAGGGAGAUCUCGAAGAAGUUUGUGCUCUCUAUCUGGAUGCCAAGUCUUCGGCAAGGCUUCUUCAAGAGCAGCAAGAAAAAUAUAUUUCUUGAUUUGUUUUUUCCAAAUGCUUCUCCGUUUUUAACCAUUUCCCACCAAGAGACAUUUAUCUCAAGAGGAAAUUUUUCUUUUAUCUCGCAGUGUAAAGAUGGAGAAGAGGGAUAGGGAAUAUUCAGUGGAAGCCCAAAUGAUUGUCUUGUGAGACUAGUGAGAGGUGGACACUCACUAAUAUAGGAAUGAAGAAAGAUAAUUGUAUUCAUUUAGGUGAAUCAAGGAUUGGGAAUGAAAAUUUUCAUUGCCUUUGAUUUUUAUUUUUACCAAAAUGUAGGAAUGAAUCAAUUUAAUUUACUGCCAGGUCGAGAAUCUCUAUCCCAUAAAGUGAUAAUCUUGUUUCUCUUCAAAAUUCUUAUCAAUUCAUUUUUUAUUUCGUGGAUCGA